CAGUCGCCGCGGUAAUACGAAGGGUGCAAGCGUUAAUCGGAAUUACUGGGCGUAAAGCGUGCGUAGGCGGUUUGUUAAGUCUGUUGUGAAAUCCCCGGGCUCAACCUGGGAAUGGCAAUGGAUACUGGCAAGCUAGAGUGUGUCAGAGGAUGGUGGAAUUCCCGGUGUAGCGGUGAAAUGCGUAGAGAUCGGGAGGAACAUCAGCGGCGAAGGCGGCCAUCUGGGACAACACUGACGCUGAGGCACGAAAGCGUGGGGAGCAAACAGGAUUAGAUACCCCCGUAGUCCCUGUCUCUUAUAC
rnacentral:rRNA from 1 species